UGUUAAGUCAGGCAACGAGCCGAGACCCACGCCCACAGUUGCCAGCGUACUCUCUGGAGUGACGGGUACGACUGUGGGGACCGCCGCUGCUAAAGCGGAGGAAGGAAUGGGCAACGGUAGGUCAGUAUGCCCCGAAUAUCCCGGGCUACACGCGAGCUACAAUGGUUGGUACAAUGGGUAUCUACCCCGAAAGGGGACGGGAAUCUCCUAAAACCAAUCUUAGUUCGGAUUGAGGGCUGCAACUCGCCCUCAUGAAGCUGGAAUCCGUAGUAAUCGCGUUUCAACAGAACGCGGUGAAUACGUCCCUGCUCCUU
rnacentral:rRNA from 1 species